GUUUAAAUAGUUUAAUUAAAAUUUUAGUGUGUGAUUCUAAAGAUAUAUCUUAUAUUUUAAACA
rnacentral:tRNA from 1 species